rnacentral:rRNA from 1 species
UUCUCUGCGGGACANCGGUUGGAAACGACCGCUAAUACCGCAUACGCCCUCCGGGGGAAAGGUCAGCCGGAGAAAGAGGGGCCCGCGUUCGAUUAGCUAGUUGGUGGGGUAAAAGCCUACCAAGGCAACGAUCGAUAGCUGGUCUGAGAGGAUGAUCAGCCACACUGGGACUGAGACACGGCCCANACUCCUACGGGAGGCAGCAGUGGGGAAUAUUGGACAAUGGGGGCAACCCUGAUCCAGCAAUGCCGCGUGUGUGAUGAAGGCCCUAGGGUUGUAAAGCACUUUCACUGGUGAAGAUGAUGACGGUAGCCAGAGAAGAAGCCCCGGCUAACUUCGUGCCAGCAGCCGCGGUAAUACGAAGGGGGCGAGCGUUGUUCGGAAUUACUGGGCGUAAAGGGCGCGUAGGCGGUCCUUUAAGUUAGGCGUGAAAGCCCCGGGCUCAACCUGGGAACUGCGCUUGAUACUGGAGGACUAGAAAACGGAAGAGGGUAGUGGAAUUCCCAGUGUAGAGGUGAAAUUCGUAGAUNUUGGGAAGAACACCAGUGGCGAAAGCGGCUACCUGGUCCGAUUUUGACGCUGAGGCGCGAAAGCGUGNGGAGCAAACAGGAUUAGAUACCCUGGUAGUCCACGCCGUAAACGAUGUCUGCUAGAUGUCGGGGGGUUACCCCUCGGUGUCGCCGCUAACGCAUUAAGCAGACCGCCNGGGAAGUACGGUCGC